AGUGAACGCUGGCGGUAGGCCUAACACAUGCAAGUCGAACGGCAGCACAGUAAGAGCUUGCUCUUACGGGUGGCGAGUGUCGUACGGGUGAGGAAUACAUCGGAAUCUACUUUUUCUUGUGGGAUAACGUAGGUAAACUUACGCUAAUACCUCAUACGACCUACGGGUGAAAUCAUGGGAUCUUCUGACCUUGCGCGAUUGAAUGAGCCGAUGUCGGAUUAGCUAGUUGGCGGGGUAAAGGCCCACCAAGUCGACGAUCCGUAGCUGGUCUGAGAGGAUGAUCAGCAACACUGGAACUGAGACACGGUCCAGACUCCUACGGGAGGAAGCAGUGGGGAAUAUUGGACAAUGGGCGCAAGCCUGAUCCAGCAAUACCGAGUGGGUGAAGAAGGCCUUAGGGUUGUAAAGCCCUUUUGUUGGGAAAGAAAAGCAGCAGGUUAAUAACCCGCUGUUAUGACGGUAACCAAAGAAUAAGCACCGGCUAACUUCGUG
rnacentral:rRNA from 1 species